CCUACGGGUGGCUGCAGUGAGGAAUAUUGGUCAAUGGGCGGAAGCCUGAACCAGCCAAGUCGCGUGAGGGAAUAAGGCCCUACGGGUCGUAAACCUCUUUUGCCGGGGAGCAAGGGCCGGGACGCGUCCCGGCCCGGAGAGUACCCGGAGGAAAAGCAUCGGCUAACUCCGUGCCAGCAGCCGCGGUAAUACGUAGGGGGCAAGCGUUAUCCGGAUUUACUGGGUGUAAAGGGGGCGCAGACGGCAAUGCAAGCCAGGAGUGAAAGCCCGGGGCCCAACCCCGGGACUGCUCUUGGAACUGCAUGGCUGGAGUACAGGAGGGGCAGGCGGAAUUCCUAGUGUAGCGGUGAAAUGCGUAGAUAUUAGGAGGAACACCGGUGGCGAAGGCGGCCUGCUGGACUGUGACUGACGUUGAGGCCCGAAGGUGUGGGGAGCAAACAGGAUUAGAUACCCGUGUAGUC
rnacentral:rRNA from 1 species